GAAAAUUGUCCUUUCAACAAUUUCUAGCAUGCUAUUGACCCAUUAUGUCAUGUUUUUUUUUUUUUUUAAAUUUGGACAAAGGGAGUAGGUGAAAUGAUAAAUGGUGCACUUAUAGAUGAUAGUUUAAAAAAAAUUCCUAUAAGAAUAUUUAUAAGAAUCUUUUUGGUUAAAUAAUUUCUUUUGGCUUUCUAAAAUUUUGAUAUUGAUUUUUGCGACAAGGUUAACAAUAUUUGCCAAAGUAUUUAAUAACCACACUUUCUUUUCCUCAUACUCUUAGUACCCAUUUAUAGUUGAAGGUAAAGUAGUUAAAUAUAGGGAAACAUUCAUUAAACUUAAGCUACAAAUCCCCUUUAAAGCCUAGGCCAUCAUUGACUGCAACCCUUGCCCAUACACUCAAUCUCUAUGUUUCUUAAAUAAACUGUAUGUCACACACUUAAACCGACCCAAAACUUCAAAAGACAUGAUGAGAAAUAUGAACGAAUAACAGGGUAUUGGCAUGCAAGUAUGGAAAUUGGUUACAAAAUCCCAUGAAGUAUCUACAUACAAGAAUGGAAAAUUGAUUGGGAUUUACCAUAGAGAUGCUUUUUCCCUGACGGUCUCAAUCUGAACCACCCUUAUUCUUGGAGUCCAAAAGCGUUGCUUAUCAGAUUUUGUAGCAUCCCUCCGAGCAUCAACAUUGACUGGUUCAUCAAGGGGCUGGGAAGAAUUCUCCCUGAUAAUGAAGGGACGGAAACGGAAGAUGCCAGGUUCCAUUUUCGGAGGGGAGAAACCAGUGUCCCAAAGAGCAAUUUGUUUCCCUUGGAAGAGGAAACUUCAAUGGGCACAUUUUCUAUGAUCUCGUCCUCGAAGGGCCACACUGCUCUUGUUCCCGAAGAGAAGAGGGACCAGGGGGGAUUUCCAUGUUUGGAUCCACCAUACGAUCUCUGAUAGAAGAGGGAGCAAUGGGGAUUUUGACAUUUGGAUCCACCACAUGAGGAUGAUCCUCCACUCCAGAUUGGUGAAGGGACCGUAAUGUGGCUUGUUGUAAGUCCUCCAAACCUUUCAA
rnacentral:lncRNA from 1 species